CUCCAGACACUGCCACCCCAGUUCCCCUCCUGCACAUGGAGUUCAGUUCCUCCAGACUGGCUGACUUACCAGAGGAGCCAGUCCUGAAAUGAGAGGGCCCAGCUUUGCCCCAAUGUCCGUAAGAAACAGCUUACCAGAUCGCCUCUACUGAACCUAGUCCUCGCGUCCUAGUGACUCACUGUCCCUGGGGAGCCUAGCUCACUGUGAGCUCGGUGCCUCUGUUCACCAGCCACCCGUGGAUUUCAUUCUCAGGGAGUUGGUGUUCAUGUGGACUGCUUAGUGCUGGGCCAGUGUCUGCUGUUUGGUGUUUGAGACAUCUGUUGUCUUCAUUGGUAUUUUAGUAUCUUGGCCUCCCUGGGCAGCAUGGUAACAAUAAACGGUAUCUCCUUCAGGGUCUAGGAUUCUUCUUUGUGGGUCUUGCUAGUCUCAGAAAAUCCAGUAUCCCAGUACCCCACUCUCUGUAGACAACACAGUUAAAUUUUCUAUCAACUUAAAGCUUCCUCUAUCCCCUGAUCAGCUAACCAAAGAGCAUUUCUGCAAUUAUACAAGUGUGAAGACUAUUACAAUUAACAUUUGUUCACAGCACUGCAUAUAUUAUGUUAUAAUUCUCAUUUUUGUCUUCCUAUUAACUCAUCACAAUGACAAUCAUCAUUAAAACACCAUGAACUUAAAAUGAACUCUCAUCUACCAAAGUAAACCACCAGUACCCUACUUGGUAAGGUGCUGUCUCUCUUAAGUCACACAUCACUGAUGAAAGACUCUCUUGUUUUUACCCUCAAGCCAUUUUACUUGUGACAUCAUCACAUCAUCAAGAUGGGAAGACCUGCUGGUGGGGUGAGAGCAUCUAAUUGUGACCAGCCUGUCCUGGGGGGAAAAGAUGCCCCAACCCAGAUGAGCCCUGCAGUGGUGUGUUCUCGGGGCUCUUGGGUCUUGAGGUGCACCUUGAGAAAGCUGACAAAGAAUUGUAGAUGGUGCUGCUCUCAGGUGAUUCUAUUGACCAAUGCCACGUAGAAAGUUCUGAGACCUUCCUUUGUUUAACAAACAUCUCUUGAGCACCAAGCACUAUUCUAGGCACUGGAGAUACAGGUAUAAAAGGUCAGCAGUCCCUGAUCUCAGGGCUGAAAUUUGCCUUCUGAUUCAGCUACAGUUUGUGGUGCUGAUGUUCUCAUUCUGUUUGAGUUGCUCACACCUCCCUGUGAUGUGCUCAGUUCGCCACUUGGAUAGGGGAGUCUAGAGAUUGGGAAAAUCAGGGCUGGACAUAAAAUUUGGGUAUCAUUGCACAGACAUUGACAACCGUAAGUCUGAGGCCACUAGGGAGACUGUGGAGGCCGAGAAGAAAGGAUCCCUGGGGUUGCUGACCUUCAGAAGUGGAGGGGAAGAGGACCCGGCAGAGGAGCCUGAAAAAGCUGAGACAUGAAGUAGGAAAAAGACCCCUCAGAUCCUCCAUCCUGCUCUUUCUGUGUGUGUCAUGCUGCAGAACUGGCCUCUAAAAUGUAGGUACAUGUUGAGCUGGGAGACUCAGGACAGAGUCCAUGUCAUCACCCUAUUCAUCUGGCAUGCCGCGGAAAGGAGCCCAGUCUAUUUUGGACCCAACAGCAAGGAUAACCCGUAGUCAUUCUGCAAUGGUCCCACCACAUGCCCAGGGCCUUGCUCAGCCCUUCACACUUCAGACGGACCUUUGUCGUGGUCACCCACAGAAGUCACAAGAUUACUUCUCCUAAGAGUUGUAGCUUAGGUCUACUUAAAAAACAAAUGUGCCCCUGAACCUCUAAAUAACACAGUGAUGGCUUACCAUUCUGCAGAAGGAGUGCCGUCACCUUUCCAUUUAGUCACAGUGAACAUUUACUGAGGUUCUAAAAUAUAUGUAGAGCACAAUGCCAGGGGCAACAGACAGUACAAAGAUGAACACGAUGUGAGUCUGGCAUUAAAGAGUUUAUGUAAUCCAUUUCUAAGGAUAAGAAAAUAGUUCAAGGUUAAAAGUACUGGGAGGCUUGAGACCAGAACUUAAAUUGUCGUUGGUUCCUGUCAACUUGUCUAUCAAAGGAGACUGUGAAGUGUGGGAGAGAAGAGCCUGCCCAGAGAGGCUGGUUUGUUUCUGAGGUGGCGGUGCAGGCGUGAAGGAGCCCACCUGGAAAUCCAGCAGAGCGCCUACCCAGACGCAGAAAGUGGACAGUGGCUCAGACUGGGGAGCGAACGGCAGGGGUCCUUCCUUCCACUGAGUGCUCGGGGCACACCUGACACUACGCUUCAGAUGCCGCAGCUGUGGGGACGGCCUCUGUCUUGUUCUUUGCUUUAUCCUCUGUGCCUGGCAGAAUAUCUGGGGCUGGUUGUGCUCAAUAAAUACCUAUUGAAUGAAGGAAAUGGUUUAUAUCUGGGAAAUCUCAUGUAUCUGGGAGAGAUGGCUUUUAAUCUCUCCAUUUCAUCGAUGAUGAGGCUCAGAGAGGUUUAUAAGCCUGCCAGUUUGCGGCAGCUAGUGAAUGGCAAAGCUAGAACCCAAACUUAGAUCUGUUUUACUCUAAAGCCCACACUGUUGAUCACUAAAUAUAUUAAUUUUGCUGGUCCAAAUAAGACAAAUGUUAUUAUUUGUGUGUGUGUGUGUGCAUGUGUGUUUACAUACACAUAUUUAUUUAUUUGUUAGGGGCUUUUUGUAUGGUAGGCCCCUAACAUACUCUAAAGGUUUUGCUCAUAUUUAAUCUUCUUAACGUUUAAUCCUCACUACCACCCUGUAAAGUAGGUGCUGUUAUUAGUCCCAGUUUACAACCAAGGAAACUGAAGCACUGUGCUAAGUAACCUGCCCAGCCAAAUUGGUUCCUGAGCCUCUGCCCUUGAUCACUGUGCUUUAUUGCCUCUCGACCUGCCAGUGAAUUUGUGUCUGUGUUUACAAACAGUUAUGAUUUAGUUACUUUGGGUUAAUUCUUUUGUUUAUAAAGUCCAGAUUUCUAAACUCUGUUCAAGUGCUGCCUUGACUGCAGCUGAAUCCAGUCACAGAUUCUGCUGCCCAGGGGGCCACACAAGAGAUGUAGUUAGAGAUGUGAGAUUCAGGCCUGUUACACACAGGCAGUUGGGAAAAAGAGAAAAAUACACAGAAGUUACUGGGAUCUGAAGAAAUAUGCUGAGAGUUUUAGAAGAGGUACAAUGAAGUGCUCUAGGACAACAGGCAUCUAGGAUUGAAAUGAGAAGAAAAGGGAGAAUGUUGAGAGGACUGAAGGCUCCUAAUAGAACUCAGCAAGGUGUGCGAAUAUGGCAGAGGCCCCACUGCAAGUUGCAGUGGAAAGAAUCACCCUUAGAAGUGUCCCUUGGCCCUUCGUCUGACGCAGAUUAACACCAGCAGAGACUGGGGAAACACAGGUACCUGAGGUUGCCAGGAAUUUCUGGGAAAAGACAAGAGGUGGGAAGCAUGUAAAAAAUAUACAAGUUUCAUUUUUCCUCUCACAAUUCAUUAAGGGAGCUGCAGUUAGCUUUGAAAUCUUGAAUUCAGUAAGCGACAAGAGGAAAAUGAAAUGCUCUGUUUCAGACUUGCACACCCACCCCUGUGAAGCGUGAGCCCUAUACGGGAGAAGUCAUCACAGUGAAAGCUGGAGGGACGAAAGGAGACGCCACGGCUGGGCCCGGGAAACAGGCCCGCCCCUGAGCCGGGUGCCUUUGAUGCCUAUUUGGGAGAAGCUUUGCUGUGAUUCAAGCACAAACUUCUAUUUGGGAGAAGCUUUGCUGUGAUUCUCCAACAUCACGUCCACUGUCUUCAUGUAAUCUAUGUGUUUUGCUAUUGCAGUUUCACUCAACUCUAAAUUUUUUUGAAUUUAUGAUAUGUUUUCAGAUGUUUCAACACAGCAAUCUGCAAAAAAUCAACACAAGAAUCAUGAUGGAUGGGGAUAGAUUUUGUGUUAAUUUGUGACACUGUUUGGACUAGUUUUAUACAUACCUAGUUAUCUUUGGUACAUUUCCACAUUACAAUAACCUGUACUUCCCUACAUAAACUCUCUGACUUGAAUGAGGCCCUGUACUCCCAAUAAAUAAUAUUGUGAGAGUUCAACAAUGUUGUAUAGCCGAAAGUGUCAGCUUUUUUGUCAUUUCUUGACUAUUGGAAUUAUUCUUCCAAUCUAGGAAGAUUGUGUUAAAAAUUCAGAGGAAGAUUAGCAAGAGAAAAAAUGUCUGUGGCUUGCUCUAAUAUGCUAUUAACAGCAUUUGUAGGAGCGGGAUGGGUGUUUACUUUGAUUAUAGCAUUUCUUGGGGGUUAGGCUUGAGUUCUGCAUCUCUUUGUGAGGGAGAAUAUUACACUGAGUUCCUUUUAUUCUCUUCAAAGGUAAAAUCAGAGAGAAGGAUGCUGCUCUUCCCAUCACAGUUAAAUGUUGUCAGCCCAUGGGGAAGCAGGCCUUAUUUCAACUCCCCAAGAUCCUUUUGAAAAAAUAAUGGCUCUAGGUCUCUUUGAUUCCCUUUCAGAAGCAAUUCUGUCUUCCUCACUGUGACUGUUGCUGUGUAAGAUUGAAGAUAUAAAUGAAUAUUAUUGUGAUGUAAAGUCUGUGUGAAAAUUCAUUGAUGACACUUUAAAAUGUCACCUUGCUUGUGCUAGAUUUCCUACCUUGAAUUUUUUAAAAUUACUUUCUUGUUUCAGGUUUUUUAAUGGCUCCAUUUGCUUAAAAAUAGCAAACUCUGUGGUUUUACGUUCUAUUAUAAUUGAUACACAUUUGGAUCUUCAUUGAACUAAUAAACAUUUACAUCUUUAGUUUA